rfam:Dipodomys ordii contig_41771, whole genome shotgun sequence.
AUUUACUGGGAUUAAGAGACAACCAAAAUCGACGAUACAGAGAAGAUUAGCAUGGCCCUUGUGCAAGGAUGACAAGCAAAUUCUUGAAGCGUUCCAUAUUUAA